rnacentral:rRNA from 1 species
UACGUAGGGAGCAAGCGUGUUCGGAUUUACUGGGCGUAAAGGGCGCGUAGGCGGCAGAUCAAGUCAGCUGUGAAAUCUCCGAGCUUAACUCGGAACUGUCAGCUGAUACUGUUUGCUAGAGUGCGGAAGGGGCAAUCGGAAUUCUGGUGUAGCGGUGAAAUGCGUAGAUAUCAAGAGGAACACCUGAGGUGAAGACGGGUUGCUGGGCCGACACUGACGCUGAGUGCGGCGAAAGCCAGGGGAGCAAACGGG